UGCUGAGGAGCCUUAGGGAGGCAGAUGGCAGCUGUUACUCUUGAAAGACCCCCGAAGGGAGACCCUCACUCAAGCCUCGGGACAGCCGCGGACCCAAGAAGACACUGAGACCG
rnacentral:pre_miRNA from 7 species